AGGCUUGUGCCUUUCACUCAAUUGCUGGGAGCUGGGUACUACUGCUGCAGAAGAAUGCUGCCAUAUAAAAGACAUGCACAGAAAGAGUAGGAAAGGGCAGAUACAUCGCAGAAACUAUUGAAAGGCAAAGGGAAAUUGGAGCUUGGGCUGACAUUUUCAGAGCUAAAUGAAAAGUGUUAAGAGCCUCUCGAGUAGUCAUGAGACCUUCCAGUGCCCCAGCCUGGCCCCGCAAGGACCUGUGGCAGAAAGUGCAAGGAAGAGGCAGCUGCAUGGGACCAGGUGGCAGCAGCAGGCCUUGGAGCUGACCCAGGGUCCAUGAUGGAUGGGAAUAGCUCACAGCAGCCGAACCAUGAGCGGCGGAACGCUUUGCUGAACGGGAGUUUUCAUCAUACUGCCACGCUGCUUGACCUCCAAAUGCGCCGACACGCUGCAGUAUCACUUAGACUGGGAAAGAAUGUUGCUGCGCUAUUGCCCAGGAGAUUCAGUAGGAUCCCAUUACAGCUAGGCGGUGCCUGUGUGCAAUGGCAAAAACCAAGUAUGUAAGAAAGCACAGUCUUAAUGUAAAGACCCACUGCAGUCCAUCAGACAAACCCAGUGUUUAAAGAUGAUAAUACAAAUGCCCGCUGUCAUCCAGGCACGCUCUUUGCUUCUUAAAUGCUGUCCGCAGCAUGGCCUGCUUCCUUCUCAUGCAGUUAUCACAGCUCUGAAUGAUGCAC
ensembl:lncRNA